UGUUUCAUGGGAGAAGCGCUAAACUUUACCUCAACAUUUAUGUAAAGUUAAAGCUGCACAGAAUAAACCAAGAUUCUGAGUCUUGAAAGUUUAUUUCAAAGAAAAGACAAUGCCUGUGCCACAUAUUUGACUUGGCAUGUGAGCAAGGACAAUUCCAACAUGGCCCUGAAAAGUUUUAAUUUGCAGUAGAAAGAAUAAGAACAAGAAGAGGGGAGGAAAGGAGGUGUCAGAAGGCAAAAAGAAGAGUACUUUGAGGCUCUUUGGAGACCUAGAGUAAAAAAUACUGCCAUUAAAUGGAGCCACCAUGAGUUUUAUAAAUAUUACGAAGCUCCAGGAAAUAUGAGCAGGAUCUCAAAUAUAUUCAACAAGCUUCCAAUUUUUGUCUUUUGAGAUGGUUGCUCUUGGAACACAGAAAUAUGCUUUAAGAUGUCAAGCCUCCUCUGCUGAUGCUGUAUGGAGAACAGACAAGCUUUCCCAUCAAGCCCUAACCAAACUGCAGAACUGUGAAUAAAAUCAAUAAUUGUUAUGAAAAGGCGGAGACACACGUUGAAGUAUUUUGCGGUGAAAUGUUAUGAUGUCUGCAAGGAACUCUCAAAUGGUUGAAGAAAAAUGUGUAUGUCAGAUAAAGAGGGAAGAGAGAAAGGGAGGAAGUACUGAACAUUUGAAGAGAGGAAGAGAUGAUAUGAAAUACUUAUAUACACUAAGUUGACUUGGAGAACUGGAGGCCAGCCAUUUGAGAAUAGUACCAACAAGAAGGAAAAAUAAAUUAUGACUGAAAAACCAAAUGGGAGCUUUUCUCAGGGAAAUGCAUGUUGCCAUAUGAGAUGAAAAAUAGAGAAAAUUCAAAAGAACAAUGGGCUGAGAAAACAUUAUUUUUUCCUGUCCCUCAUUGCUUCUGGAUGACUCUCAACGCUGAGAAGUAUAUACACUUGACCCACAGGUUUGAAAUGCUCUGCCACCCCCAAGACUGCAAGACCAACCCCUCCACUUCCUCCUCAUCCUUAACUUACCUAAAAUGAAGAUGAUGAGAAUGUACACCUUGAUGAUGAGCCAUUUCCACCUAAUAAAUAGUAAAUAUAUUUUCUCUUCC
rnacentral:lncRNA from 1 species